rnacentral:lncRNA from 1 species
CUGAGGUUUUGGAGGGCGGAGGCCUGUGUGGAUAGGGCUGCGACACCAGUAGCGGCCCCAGCUGCGGCCAGAAGGGAAGUGACAGUGAGUACAGCAGUGAUAGGUUCGCGUUUGUGGAGGUAGAUGGCUUCUUGAGUGUGAUCGAAGGCUUCAAAGAAAUGUCUUGGGGUGUGAUAGAUGACUCGAGGCGUAAGAAGGAUGAGGACACACGUUUCGCUAGUCAUGUUGAGAGUGGCGACAGAUAGGCACGGGCACACCCCGAAUUCUGUAGCCGACCCUACACCUGGGGGAAGAUGCCCACCUUUCACGCAGACCACCUGGUCUGAAGUCUCAGGAUCCUCUGAGUGAUUCCAGUAAGUGGACACAGGCUAGCAGUGCCGGGACUGUGGCCUCUGGGAAAGGCAGGUGGCCUUGUGGCUCCUGGCCCGGAAAGUUGGAGGUC